UAGAGGUUUAAUGAUCUUACCGAGGUGCUAGCUUUCUUGCAGAGAUAUUCUCUUGAUAGCUGAUCUGACUCCUUCAGAUCUCUCAAAUAUUUUAGAGAUGAAGGAGAUGAGGAUGAAGAAGAGGUGGAGGAGAUGGAAGAAGAAUUCUUUCUCACUUCCCAAAAACCAACACCUAAGCCCUAGAUGGAAACCUAGGACCUACACCUCCAAAACUCACUCCC
rnacentral:lncRNA from 1 species